GCCUCGUUGGCGUAGUGGUAGCGCGUCGCACUUGUAUGCUAAUAUAAUGCGAAGGUCACUCGUUCAACCCGGGUACGAGGCA
rfam:Phanerochaete carnosa HHB-10118-sp unplaced genomic scaffold PHACAscaffold_3, whole genome shotgun sequence.